GACAGAGGCCCCAAGGCGUUAGGCGGAAUCACUGGGCUUAAAGCGUGUGUAGGCGGGCCCGUAAGUGUCUUGUGAAAUCCCACGGCUCAACCGUGGAACUGCUGGGCAUACUGCGGGUCUUGGGCCAACUAGGGGCAGCCGGAACAAGCGGUGGAGCGGUGAAAUGCGUAGAUAUCGCUUGGAACGCCGAAGGUGAAAACAGGGCUGCUGGGGUU
rnacentral:rRNA from 1 species